CGCAUCUGUGCAUGCAGCAUAUCAAUAAGCGGAGGAAAAGAAACUAACAAGGAUUCCCUUAGUAACGGCGAGUGAAGCGGGAAGAGCUCAAAUUUGAAAUCUUCAAGGUUUUACCUUGACGAAUUGUAGUUUAAAGAAGUGUUUUCUGUUGAAGUUUUGGUAAAAGUUCUUUGGAAUAGGACAUCAUAGAGGGUGAGAAUCCCGUAUUUGACCAUUAUUUUCAGCUGCGUGAUACACUUUCAAAGAGUCGGAUUGUUUGGGAAUGCAGUCCAAAAUGGGUGGUAAAUUUCAUCUAAAGCUAAAUAUUGGCGAGAGACCGAUAGCGAACAAGUACCGUGAGGGAAAGAUGAAAAGAACUUUGAAAAGAGAGUUAAACAGUACGUGAAAUUGUCAAAAGGGAAGCGUUUGACACCAGUGUUGUUUUCUCGAAAAUCAAUUAAAAAGAGUUUGAUUUUGUUGUGUAUUGACCUUAACAGCUUGCAUUUCAAUUUUCUUGCUUUUUUUAAUGCACUUUUCGUUUAACAAGUCAACAUCAGUUUCUUUUGUUGUAAAAAGGUCAUUGGAAGGUGGCUUUCUUUUCGGAGAAAGUGUUUAUAGCCUUUGACUCCUGCAAUCGGAGAGACUGAGGUCUGCAGCGUAGAUCCUUCGGGGUUAGAUACAUUUGUGCUAAGUUAUAGCUUUUUAUAGACAACUUGUUGACUAUGAUUAGUCUUGUAGCUUACUCGCUUAUGCUAUUUUACCUACGCUUAGGAUGUUGACACACGCGCGUGCUCG
rnacentral:rRNA from 1 species